CUUAACAUGCAGUCGAACGGCAGCACGGGGGCAACCCUGGUGGCGAGUGGCGAACGGGUGAGUAAUACAUCGGAACGUGUCCUGUAGUGGGGGAUAGCCCGGCGAAAGCCGGAUUAAUACCGCAUACGCUCUACGGAGGAAAGGGGGGGAUCUUAGGACCUCCCGCUACAGGGGCGGCCGAUGGCAGAUUAGCUAGUUGGUGGGGUAAAGGCCUACCAAGGCGACGAUCUGUAGCUGGUCUGAGAGGACGACCAGCCACACUGGGACUGAGACACGGCCCAGACUCCUACGGGAGGCAGCAGUGGGGAAUUUUGGACAAUGGGGGCAACCCUGAUCCAGCAAUGCCGCGUGUGUGAAGAAGGCCUUCGGGUUGUAAAGCACUUUUGUCCGGAAAGAAAACGCCGUGGUUAAUACCCGUGGCGGAUGACGGUACCGGAAGAAUAAGCACCGGCUAACUACGUGCCAGCAGCCGCGGUAAUACGUAGGGUGCAAGCGUUAAUCGGAAUUACUGGGCGUAAAGCGUGCGCAGGCGGUCCGCUAAGACAGAUGUGAAAUCCCCGGGCUUAACCUGGGAACUGCAUUUGUGACUGGCGGGCUAGAGUAUGGCAGAGGGGGGUAGAAUUCCACGUGUAGCAGUGAAAUGCGUAGAGAUGUGGAGGAAUACCGAUGGCGAAGGCAGCCCCCUGGGCCAAUACUGACGCUCAUGCACGAAAGCGUGGGAGCAAACAGGAUUAGAUACCCUGGUAGUCCA
rnacentral:rRNA from 1 species